AAAUUCUGAGUUUCUGUCGAAUUUUCUUAUUUUUGUAAUAUUUUUCCGUCAAACAAUUAUCAACGCAAGAAUCUUUGGUGGAAAGUCUUAGCAGGCUUAAAAAUUCCAAAUUUUCGACAGAUUAUCUUUAUUUUUUAUGUUUUUUUGGGGGGUGGGGGGCUACAAAAAAUUCUAUUAUUUUCGUAUAUUAGGUACCUGCUGAUGAUUUUUCCUGGCAAACCUAACAGUUAACAGAAAAUGAGAAAAAGGGGAAAAUCGUGUACUUCCUUCCAAAAAAUGAAAAUGCACUAAAAAGAGACAAAAAAAUCGUAGAAAGAGCACGGGAAAAAUCGGGAAUUUUUGAGAAAAACGGCAACUGCGAUGGCGACUGAUCUGCACCUCCGUGCCAUUCCGGCGUUUCUGUUUCAGUGUUCCCGUUAAUGGCAGUUCAUUAGGACUGGGAAGAUCAAUAUCGUAGACCCAGAGAGGAAAAAAACCAGGAAUGGUGGAGCGAAAUAGUCAUAGCUAAGGCAUAAAUGCAAGCCACGCCUUGGCAAGACGAAGGCCGCCAACUCACAGGAAAGUCAACUUUAAAAGUCGAGACGAGAAUAAAGAAUGGAAAUGCAGGGAAUGGAAUGUCCUGAAAGAAAAAAUUGAAUCUUGGUUUGAAAACGACCCAUCUCAGAAAAAUGAAUGUAUUAUUACGAUCCUCUCGAUAUUUUCGGAUACUUGGAAACUUUUCCGAUCUUUCGGGACGUUUGUCAUCCUGUACGGAGUGAUCGGGAGAAACCGGGCUGAAUUUUUCGGCGAAAAAUACAGUAAGUGCUACGACCCUCAAGAUAAGCUUACCGUGAGAAAGUUCCAAUAGGAAGUGUAACACGCGAAGAAACUCACCUCCUGAAACAAAAGAAAGAAUGACUCAUUAAUACAAUUAUUAGAAAAAGUACUCAACAGUAUUACCACCAAUCCCACACGGCAAAAGGCCAGGUAUACUGACGUUCUAAGGAAAAACGCCGUAUGAAUCCGAAUUUGUGGGUUGCCAAUUUUCUUUCGAUAAAAUGUUCAUUUUUUAGGAAAGUUAUAAAUAUUUUUUCUUUAAAUUUUCAGAAUCUUUAGAUGCAAUUGCGAACAAAAUCAUCUGAAAAAUUGGGAGGAAAAUAUUCAUAAGUUACGAGGAAAUUCGAAUCUUAUCAGAGGAAAUUUGGCAACGCCUGAAGGUUCAUACGGCAUUUUUCCUUAGCACGGCCGUGUAGUGCUAAUUUGCGGAAACCGACGCACAGUGGAUUGACUCAAUCAGAGAGGUCGGACAUGAAAUUUGUAACUAAACCUACAUAUUUUGAUGUUUAAAUCGUCACAUUUAAAAUUUUAAGGGGUGAAUCUAGAGGAAAAUUUUACGAGGAAACCAAUGGAACCACUUUCAGAACCUCAAAGUUGUGUAUAAACGGAGUUAUACGCUUUUAAAGUUUCCAAAUUUCGUCCGACCUCCUCCAUUGACUCGAUCCAAUGUGCGACGCAGGGCCCAAUAGUUGUUGUCGAUCAUUUUCCCUCCUUCGUCUACAGUAACCACCUGUUUUAACCGCGCUAUA
rnacentral:lncRNA from 1 species